AUUGAACGCUGGCGGCAUGCUUUACACAUGCAAGUCGAGCGGCAGCGCGGGGGCAACCCUGGCGGCGAGUGGCGAACGGGUGAGUAAUGCAUCGGAACGUAUCCUCGAGUGGGGGAUAACCCAGCGAAAGUUGGGCUAAUACCGCAUGAGCUCUGAGGAGGAAAGCGGGGGACCUGCGAGGGCCUCGCGCUGGAGGAGCGGCCGAUGUCCGAUUAGCUAGUUGGUGGGGUAAAGGCUUACCAAGGCGACGAUCGGUAGCUGGUCUGAGAGGAUGAUCAGCCACACUGGGACUGAGACACGGCCCAGACUCCUACGGGAGGCAGCAGUGGGGAAUUUUGGACAAUGGGGGCAACCCUGAUCCAGCCAUGCCGCGUGAGUGAAGAAGGCCUUCGGGUUGUAAAGCUCUUUCGGACGGAACGAAAUGGGCGGGACUAAUACUCCAGUCUGAUGACGGUACCGUAAGAAGAAGCACCGGCUAACUACGUG
rnacentral:rRNA from 1 species